GAUGAACGCUGGCGGCGUGCCUAAUACAUGCAAGUCGAGCGAACAGACGAGGAGCUUGCUCCUCUGACGUUAGCGGCGGACGGGUGAGGAACACGUGGAUAACCUACCUAUAAGACUGGGAUAACUUCGGGAAACCGGAGCUAAUACCGGAUAAUAUAUUGAACCGCAUGGUUCAAUAGUGAAAGACGGUUUUGCUGUCACUUAUAGAUGGAUCCGCGCCGCAUUAGCUAGUUGGUAAGGUAACGGCUUACCAAGGCAACGAUGCGUAGCCGACCUGAGAGGGUGAUCGGCCACACUGGAACUGAGACACGGUCCAGACUCCUACGGGAGGCAGCAGUAGGGAAUCUUCCGCAAUGGGCGAAAGCUUGACGGAGCAACGCCGCGUGAGUGAUGAAGGUCUUCGGAUCGUAAAACUCUGUUAUUAGGGAAGAACAAAUGUGUAAGUAACUAUGCACGUCUUGACGGUACCUAAUCAGAAAGCCACGGCUAACUACGUG
rnacentral:rRNA from 1 species